AGUGAACGCUGGCGGUAGGCCUAACACAUGCAAGUCGAACGGCAGCACAGUAAGAGCUUGCUCUUACGGGUGGCGAGUGGCGGACGGGUGAGGAAUACAUCGGAAUCUACUUUUUCGUGGGGGAUAACGGAGGGAAACUUACGCUAAUACCGCAUACGACCUACGGGUGAAAGCAGGGGAGCUUCGGACCUUGCGCGAUUGAAUGAGCCGAUGUCGGAUUAGCUAGUUGGCGGGGUAAAGGCCCACCAAGGCGACGAUCCGUAGCUGGUCUGAGAGGAUGAUCAGCCACACUGGAACUGAGACACGGUCCAGACUCCUACGGGAGGCAGCAGUGGGGAAUAUUGGACAAUGGGCGCAAGCCUGAUCCAGCCAUACCGCGUGGGUGAAGAAGGCCUUCGGGUUGUAAAGCCCUUUUGUUGGGAAAGAAAAGCAGCAGGUUAAUCCCCCGCUGUUCUGACGGUACCCAAAGAAUAAGCACCGGCUAACUUCGUG
rnacentral:rRNA from 1 species